UACGGGGGGGGCAAGCGUUGUUCGGAAUUACUGGGCGUAAAGGGCCCGUAGGCGGCCAACUAAGUCAGACGUGAAAUCCCUCGGCUUAACCGGGGAACUGCGUCUGAUACUGGAUGGCUUGAAUCCGGGAGAGGGAUGCGGAAUUCCAGGUGUAGCGGUGAAAUGCGUAGAUAUCUGGAGGAACACCGGUGGCGAAGGCGGCAUCCUGGACCGGCAUUGACGCUGAGGUGCGAAAGCGUGGGGAGCAAACAGG
rnacentral:rRNA from 1 species